CCAUAUUGUUAAACAUACCAGCAAUGCUAGAACUCCAUAUGCAAAAUUGGGUUCUAAAGAGAAAAGUACUGUGUUUUAGAGAGAAAACUAUAGAUAAACAAUGGCAUUUACAACCCUUCGUAUAUAUCAGUUGUGUUUCUUACACUAAGUUCUGUAUCUAAUGCCCAUUCGUCGUCGAACCGGGCAACUUUACUGGCCUUCAAGUUCAACGCUACCCUGCAUGAGCCGUGCUUUGGCAUUUCCGACUUAUGGAUGGGUACUGACUAUUGCCAUAAAUGGUAUGGAGUGAGCUACGACUAGGAGACUCAUUGAGUUGUCGACAUCAACCUCCAGGGGAAUCAGAGGACUAGUUUACAGAAAAAAGUGUUGUCAUCUAAGUCUAACAUAAUGUAAAGCAAAAUCUUGAUAGACAAGAAUUAUGCAAUUGACUCAAAGAUUCGUAAUACUAUAUGCAAUGUAUGGAAUUAAUUAAUAAAAAACACUCAAUUAUUCAGAUCAUGUUAAGGAAUCUAAAAAUAAAAAUUUAACAUAUCAACAAUAGAUGAAAGUUACUGGUAUAUUCAUCAGUUAAUACCCACCAUAUUUCAUUAUUAAGAUCAAAAACAUCAUAUACCAUAUGUGUGUAUUGUAUAUCAAAAAAUGGGUUUUGUGCAGUAAUCGACACAGAAUAUAUGAUUGCAUACCUGAUAGAACAAAGAGGAAGAUUCCUAUCAUGCACAUGAAAACUAAUAGAACGGAGAGCAGAAUUUCAAUUAUUUGGGCACUGUAUGUUAUCCAUGAACUUGAAUUAAUCUUUGUUUUUGCACACGCAAUUAAUGAAAUUCUUAAAGUUUGCCAUUUUAAA
rnacentral:lncRNA from 1 species